rnacentral:lncRNA from 1 species
GAUCCAUCCUUUAAGCCUCAGCCCCAGUGAUGCCCAGGAAGUCUCUCUGGACCCUCCCCUAGGGCAGCUGAAAAUCUUUUCUUCAGUGCCAGGUGACAUGCCCUGCACACACCUCUGGCUCAGCGUGCAUCGCAGCAGCGGGAUCCGUCACACUCUCCUCCACCUCCCCCACCAGCUGCUUCAAGGCUACCCAUGGGGACCUCAACAGCUUUGCCAUUGCACACUAUCUUUGCAGACAAGAUCUUAAUCACAUCCAACUUUCUGCAGUUGCACAGGGUACCUCAGACCCACAUCCCAGAUGACAUUCCUCAGAAGCUCGCAGCUGGAGAUGACAUCACCUUAGACAACAUCACCCUAGCCCAAGACAUCGCUAUUAGAGAUACAUCACCUGGACACUAAAGCCUCCAACCCAGUGACACUCUCAAGGUGCUGACAAAAUGGACAUGGACAUUUGUUGCUUUUCUUCUUUUGAAUUAGGAACUCUAUUGUGUUUCCUGAAUUUACUGUCUGCUUGGCCCAUGAUCCUGGUAUGUUCCUUGCUCUCUGCCAAAACAUGCACCGUCCCCUCCACACCUAAAGGAAAACCUGGUAGAAGCUACUACUCUCAAUGCCAUUCUAAAAUUGACGAAGAGUAUUAUUUUCCCCAAGAGGCAGCUGCUGCAGGCCAGUGAAUCCUCUGGACCCUGGGGAGAGGGUCAUACACUCCCUAGUGACUUCUACUGUAUGCUCCAGCUUUCCACCAGGACCUCCUGCCCUGUCCCCAACUGUAACGACCACAACCACCCCAUCCCCUUGGUUACACACAAAUAUCACCAGUCUUUACAUGUACUUUACUGACUUCUCAGAUAAUACCCUCCAACAAGAUAACUGCAGGACUUGCCACCAUGACCUGAGAAAUACACCAAGAUAUUAUUGUCCAAUUUUUUUGAGAUAUAUAUAUAUUUCUCAUACUUUUAACAUACUCUGCAAUCCACCAAGAUAUUGGUAGAGACCCUGGAAAUUUCAAAUCUAUUUCGUCUGCUAAUGCCAUGUGAAUGGGAAACUUAGAUACAGGCUGGCCUACAAGGACUCCUUAUACUUCAAUUUUUGUUCCUCCUUUCAACUCUCAUAAAAAAUAUUUUCUGUACUAUUUAGGGCAAAUGAUGGCCUUCUUUCUAAGUCUCAUCCAUCAUUGCUGCAAAGGUGCCUUAGUUUGAUGUUAAAGUGUCACAGGGCCAAUGUAUUGACCAUGUUUCUGGCGUCUAUAAAGUCGAUGUUUUAAUAUCUGUCCUACAUGCAUACACCAAACAUUCCUUGAUCUGGAAAACCCAACAGUAUGCUUUGCUUCAGCCUCAGGCCUCCCUUGUCGCCUCCUCUGUGCCACCCCCCAUUCCUCGGGAGUCCUCCUCCUCCCAGGGGCGCACUUUUCAAAUACAAACCAACCAAUCCAGAGCCCACACCCCAACCACCUCCUUUAUUGGUCUCUCACAUGCUGGGCCACUAUCCACUUUCCCUAAUCACCCAAAG